CCAGCGCCUCCAUCCAAGUCCGGCCUGCGUCCAUGGCCUUUCUGACCGCCUGGAAGGGGGCGGCCUCCGGGGAAAGCGACCGCAGGACUCCUGUGAACAGCCUCCACGAGUCCCUGGACCAGUGCAUGACCGCCCUGGACCUCUUCCUCACCAACCAGUUCUCAGAAGCACUCAGCUACCUCAAGCCCAGAACCAAGGAGAGCAUGUACCACUCACUGACGUAUGCCACCAUCCUGGAGAUGCAGGCCAUGAUGACCUUUGACCCCCAGGACAUCCUACUUGCUGGCAACAUGUUGAAGGAGGCCCAGUCUCUCUGUCAGAGGCACCGGAGGAAGUCCUCUGUAACAGAUUCCUUCAGCAGCCUGUUGCACCGCCCCACUAUGGACCAGUUCACGGAAGUGGAAAUCCACGCUGAGGUCUGCUACGCAGAGUGCCUGCUGCAGAGAGCAGCCCUGACCUUCCUGCAGGACGAGAACAUGGUGAGCUUCAUCAAGGGUGGCAUCAAAGUUCGAAACAGCUACCAGACCUACAAGGAGCUAGACAGCCUCGUGCAGUCCUCACAGUACUGCCAGGGAGAGAACCACAGGCACUUUGAAGGAGGAGUGAAGCUCGGUGUGGGAGCCUUCAACCUGACGCUGUCCAUGCUUCCUACCAGGAUCCUGCGGCUGCUAGAGUUCGUGGGGUUUUCAGGAAACAAGGACUACGGGCUGCUGCAGCUGGAGGAGGGGGCAUCGGGGCACAGCUUCCGCGCCGUGCUCUGUGUCAUGCUGCUGCUGUGCUACCACACCUUCCUCACCUUUGUGCUCGGCACUGGGAACGUCAACAUCGCGGAGGCAGAGAAGCUCUUGAGACCCUACCUGAAGCGAUACCCUAAGGGCGCCAUCUUCCUGUUCUUUGCGGGGCGGAUUGAAGCCAUUAAAGGCAAUGUUGACGCGGCCAUCCGGCGGUUCGAGGAGUGCUGCGAGGCCCAGCAGCACUGGAAGCAGUUCCACCACAUGUGCUACUGGGAGCUGAUGUGGUGCUUCACCUACAAGGGCCAGUGGAAGAUGGCCUACUUCUACGCAGACCUGCUCAGCAAGGAGAACUCCUGGUCCAAGGCCACCUACAUCUACAUGAAGGCCGCCUACCUCAGCAUGUUUGGGAAGGAGGACUACAAGCCGUUCGGGGAUGACGAAGUGGAGUUGUUUAGAGCUGUGCCGGGCCUGAAACUCAAGAUUGCUGGGAAAUCUCUACCCACAGAGAAGUUUGCCAUCCGGAAGUCCAGACGCUACCUCUCCCCAAAACCUAUCUCAUUGCCCAUCCCUGCUCUGGAAAUGAUGUACAUUUGGAAUGGCUACGCUGUGAUUGGGAAGCAGCCGGAACUCACAGACGGGAUACUUGAGAUUAUCACCAAGGCUGAAGAGUUGCUGGAAAAGGGCCCAGAGAAUGAGUACUCAGUGGAUGAUGAGUGCUUGGUGAAGCUGCUGAAAGGCCUGUGUCUGAAAUAUCUGGGCCGUGUCCAGGAGGCCGAGGAGAAUUUCAGGAGCAUCUCUGCCAACGAAAAGAGGAUUAAAUACGACCACUACUUGAUCCCAAAUGCCCUGCUGGAGCUGGCCCUGCUGUUUAUGGAGCAAGGCAGAAAUGAAGAGGCUAUCAAACUCUUGGAAACUGCCAAGCAAAAUUAUAAGAAUUAUUCCAUGGAAUCCAGGACACAUUUUCGAAUCCAGGCAGCCACACUCCAAGCCAAGUCUUCCCUAGAGAAUGGCAACAGAUCCAUGGUUUCAUCAAUGCCCUUGUAGUUUUGUGCAGCAUUCCCAGGCUGGAAGACAGAGUCAGCUGGACAGAGAGCUCCUGGAAACAUUUCAAAAAGAUCCCCUCCCCCUGCCCUGCCGUCGGGGUCCACCGGUGCUCCAGUGCGAUGACACGACAUGGGUAUCUGCGCAGAAGCGAAGCUGGCAUUUUCACCAGUGCGGCCGAGGGCCUUUGCCCAGGGCAGAGCAGCUGGAGCCCUCUGCCUGCCCUAUCACAUAUACGGACACCGAAAGUAGUUGGAGAGUCUUCUAAUACCUGAGAUGUCUUAUGAAGAACACUCAUAGCAUUUAAAAGGUUUGUGUGAACCAAACUACAAGUAUCUUAAAGUAUUUCAAAUUGUUCGGUUUACAUUUAAAAGAGUAAGAUUCUUUUAUUUUUUCCUGGUCAGGCUUUCCAGACAUCUCAAAUCCUACAGCUAAGCCUGAACAUAUCUUGCCCAAAUCCAAAUAUGUUGUACCUAUUAUUUGGCUUAAGAAAAUUUAGAAACUAUCAAGCUUCUAAAUUUAUGACUAGAUGGUAUUAAAUGCCAAGCCAUAAAAAAUACUUCCCCCAAAGUAUAUAUACCUAGAAAUUUUUAAGUAAAUUUAUACAUGUGUGUUUUAAAGAAAGGAUUAGAAUAUUCUUAUGUAAUCAAUUCUAACUUUAGCCCUUUACAACUGUAUUAUAUAACUUUAUUUAACUUGGUAAAAGCCAAAACUGAUGGUUCUUAACAUGGUAUGUGGAGAUCAAAAUUAAAGAAUACAAAAUACCUUAAAAAAAAAAAUAGCGUUCAGCUCAAUCCUGGUUCCUUCAAUAUUACUGCCAAACUUCUGUGAAAGAAGCCUUGUAAUAAAGACUAACAGCAACAUAGAAGAUGAUUAAAAAAAAAAGUUCAUUUACCAAUUUUAACAAUCUAGAAAAAAAGAAAGUGACUAUAAUACUUGAUGACAGACAUCAUGUUUAAGUAGAAAACACAAAGAUAAAAAAAGUAAUACCGCUGAAAAUAUUGCACAACUUCAGGUGUUUCCUCCAAAUUUGCUUUAUGUAAUUGGAUAUAAAUUAAUGAACAAAAACUUAAGCAAGGUACAUGUAACAAUUUAACAGAACCUGAUAAUCUAAUUUCUUUCAAUUUUUCUCAAACUCAUCAUGGGGCUCAUAAGAAAAUUAACCAACAUGGAUACUGCUACAGUUGAAUGUCAAAUCUUUAAGUGCUUAUGACAUACUAAAUUCUUCUAUAAUGCAAUUAUGAAGAACCCUUUGAGAAACUUGUGUUUUGUAUGUAGAAAAGUGUUAAAGUCAAAUAUUCAACUCAAUAUAAAAUAAAAAGAAACAUUUCUGAUUUGUUGGGUUGAGAUUGCUUCUCCUUUUGCUAAUGAAUGAUUUUUUAGCUGUAAUAUCACUGAGUUGAACAAAUAUGUCACCUUCGAGUACAUAAAGAAAAAUAAACACAUGCUAAAUGGAUAAAACAUUACAACUACAUCUUUACUAGACCAUCUCUACCUCUAACACUUCAGAAGCUUAGAGAUUCAGUGUUCUUAUAUUAACUGCAAGAAAAA